rnacentral:lncRNA from 1 species
AUGGAAACUCCUAUCUUAUAUCUAAAAAGCAUUGUUGCUACCUGGUUGAGCUCCAGUUCUGCUUCCUGGGUGAUUGGUACCAUCCUCCGCAUCCUGUAUGGACUGGGGCUCUUCCUCCUGUUCUUUCCCUCCCCCAAAAGGAAUCUGCCCUUACAACUAACUUACAAAAGGAGAAACGUCAGGAAGCGUCAAGUGGAGCCGAGAGGGAGGAGCAGCAGGAGCAGGAAGAAAAGGGGAGCUUGCAAAGCUUGCAGAGCUGGCCGGAAGGACCUGGCAGAAGUGGGGGGCCUGAUGUCCCUUUCGCAAAGCUCCCCAGGGAGGCUGUCUUGUAAGGGAUGCUUCCAUCGCUUGUCAUCUCAAGACUCCCCUGGGGAGGCAUGCAAGACAGCAUCUGCUAGAGUCCGCCAGCCAUGCGGGAAGCCUGUGGAAGGUGCUCCUCUCACCAUGACCCCAGCACUUUCCCUGGCUCUUCUCACCCAGCGUACUCUACCUUUGGCCUCCACUCUGCCAGCAGAACCUCCAUCGGCCUUGACCAGAACUCCACUAGGCCCUGUUGCCACGAGCUCAGCUCCAGGUCACUCCUGUUGGCCAUUUCCCAACUCAGGCCACGGCCGCGUGAGCUGUCGCAUUGAGUUCCUCUCCAGGUGGAACAUAAUCAAGGUCUUGCUCUUCCCUGUGUCAUCACACUUCGAGUCCCAGCAAGGGCACCUGUCCUGCCACUGA